rnacentral:rRNA from 1 species
UACAGAGGUGGCAAGCGUUGUUCGGAAUUACUGGGCGUAAAGCGUACGUAGGCGGCUUUGUAAGUUAGAGGUGAAAGCCCAGAGCUCAACUCUGGAAUUGCCUUUAAGACUGCAUCGCUUGAAUCGUGGAGAGGUUAGUGGAAUUCCGAGUGUAGAGGUGAAAUUCGUAGAUAUUCGGAAGAACACCAGUGGCGAAGGCGACUAACUGGACACGUAUUGACGCUGAGGUACGAAAGCGUGGGGAGCAAACAGG